UACGGGGGGAGCAAGCGUUGUUCGGAUUUACUGGGCGUAAAGGGCGUGUAGGCGGCCACCGCAAGUCGACUGUGAAAUCUCCGGGCUUAACCCGGAAAGGUCAGCCGAUACUGCGGGGCUAGAGUGCAGAAGGGGCAACUGGAAUUCUCGGUGUAGCGGUGAAAUGCGUAGAUAUCGAGAGGAACACCUGCGGCGAAGGCGGGUUGCUGGGCUGACACUGACGCUGAACUGCGAAAGCUAGGGGAGCGAACGGG
rnacentral:rRNA from 1 species